rnacentral:rRNA from 1 species
UCGUAACAAGGUCUCCGUUGGUGAACCAGCGGAGGGAUCAUUACCGAGUUAUACAACUCAUCAACCCUGUGAACAUACCUAAACGUUGCCUCGGCGGGAACAGACGGCCCCGUGAAAACGGGCCGCCCCCGCCAGAGGACCCCCUAACUCUGUUUCUAUAAUGUUUCUUCUGAGUAAAACAAGCAAAUAAAUUAAAACUUUCAACAACGGAUCUCUUGGCUCUGGCAUCGAUGAAGAACGCAGCGAAAUGCGAUAAGUAAUGUGAAUUGCAGAAUUCAGUGAAUCAUCGAAUCUUUGAACGCACAUUGCGCCCGCCAGUAUUCUGGCGGGCAUGCCUGUUCGAGCGUCAUUACAACCCUCAGGCCCCCGGGCCUGGCGUUGGGGAUCGGCGGAGGGCCCCCCGUGGGCACACGCCGUCCCCCAAAUACAGUGGCGGUCCCGCCGCAGCUUCCAUCGCGUAGUAGCUAACACCUCGCGACUGGAGAGCGGCGCGGCCACGCCGUAAAACCCCCAACUCUUCUGAAGUUGACCUCGAAUC